rnacentral:lncRNA from 10 species
CCUCCGCCUCCGGCCCGCCCUCGUCUCCGCCCCUGCGGGGGCUGCUCGUUAGGCCCCGCCCUGCACCCCCGUCACCCACGCCGCGCGACCCGCAGCCGCCGCCAGGGCCCUCUGCUGCCGCGGAGGUGCUAGGACAGCCGCGGACGGCCCGCCUCCCCGUGCCCCGGGCCUCGAGGCCAAUAAAAAGCUCGCCCCUCCAGCUCACCGGGUCCGACGGGUACGGUACAAAGUGCUGUCUCUCGCCACAGCCACCUUUGUGACAAUAAAAGCAAUAAGGCUAAUGUCCAUGGGGCGCUCACGGUGAGCUUUAGCUUUAUGAUAAAGAUUGGCCUGUUACCUCGUUUAAUCUUCACAACUGCCCCAUCAACUAUGUACUCUUACUGUCCCCAGUUUAUGCAUGAACAGAGAAAGCUGAGAUACGGAGACUAGUGAUCCGUCGAGGUAAUAAACGGCACAGGUGGGGUUUGAACUCCAUCAGUUUGAUUGCAGAGGCCUGGAACAACCCUACAGCCUUCUCUCAGAUCUUUUCUGGACCUUUUUCUAUGCGCUUUGGAUGUGAGCUCCAGGAGGACACGACCCUCCCUGUUUCCUUGUUCCCUGCUGUGUCCCAGUACCAAGCACAGUGUCUGAUAUAGUCUAGAGUGAGCCUCCUUCAUUUCAGUCCUUGGCAAGGGGGAGUGAGCCAGAGAUGGCAUUAAGCUGCAUGUGGCUGCUAAGUCAUGGACCUAGGACGUGAGGCUGCCAAGCUUGGUAUUCAAUAAAUAUUGAUGGAUGAAGGAACAAUGGAAGAAAGGAGUGCAUGGGUAAACAAAUGACAAAUAUGUCAAAGCACGGAUGCAGAUUCUUAGAAUGGGCUAAUGCUGUUUUCUGCUGGAUUUUUGGAUGUGUACAAACGAGUUCUCUCACAAUACAGAUCCACAGUGUCUGGGUCAGAGGAGAACUGAUGCUCCGCAUGGCAUUUUACCAUCCUGCCUGCCUGCCUGGGGCCCUGGGCCCACAGGCUUUGGGGAGAGUGUAUGGCCAGGCUGCAGCCUUCCUGGGAUAAAGCUCUGCCUUUUAGUCUCUUAUCCUACUUUUUAGAAGCCCUUUAAGGUCUUUGUUAAAGGAAAUCUAAUGUGAAGAAUUCCAGGAGAACUGGAUAAGCCUGACUAUGGGUGGGCGUGACUGAAUUACUUCCCGGGCUGGCUAAGGAAGGCCUCCCCCGAAGUGCAUCGGAAGCCUGCAGCUUCUCCUUAUGGCCACUGGAGGGCACUUGGACCAUGAAAUACCAGAUCGUCUCGGCGUCCCAGGUCUUUGGAAAUGUGUGAUUCAAUUCAGCAAACGUUUCAAAAUCAUCACUAUAAAGAUAGCGCUUUUGUGUUGAACAUCCAAUAUGGCGCUAAACACCUUAUAUAUAUGUGUGCGUGUAUAUAUGAACUUGCUUAAUAUUAACUACAAUUGUUGUGAGUUACUUAGGCUAUUUAGGAAAAAAAAAUCAAGGCUUAAAGAAGUCAAAGUACUUACCCAAGAUUGCUUAGCUAAAUAAAAUUUGGGAGUAAGGACUUGAACUCAAGCCCUUGGGCACCAACCAUAAGCAAUAGGUGCACACAAAGCUGAAAUGAGGACUCUCUUAUAAGCAGGAAGACGCACACACCACACAAAUAUUAUUGUUCCUCAACAAUUUACACAUUCUGAAAUUGGAAGAUGACUUACAAUUUGUACAUUACAUGGUAAUGUUUCUUUUUUCCCUUGAAAUGAUGUUAUUAAAUAAAUGAAGUGUCUCACAAUU